rnacentral:lncRNA from 1 species
ACACAUGGAUUUAAGUUUUGUGAGUUUUUUGUACACCAAUCUUUGUAUGAUGAUGUUUACCUUUCUGAAAAUUUUAAGGUUUAAAAAAUUCAUAAAAAGGAAUAAAUUUAGAAAUGACACUAAAAAUAAAUUUGAACCCAAGAAAAAAUAAGUCAUAUGCUACAAAUGCAAGAAGUUGGGACAUUUUAAAAGUGAAUGUCCCCAAGCAAAG